GACGUAGGGGCAAGCGUUGUUCGGAAUCACUGGGCGUAAAGGGUGCGUAGGCGGGUCUUUAAGUCAGGGGUGAAAUCCUGGAGCUCAACUCCAGAACUGCCUUUGAUACUGAGGAUCUUGAGUUCGGGAGAGGUGAGUGGAACUGCGAGUGUAGAGGUGAAAUUCGUAGAUAUUCGCAAGAACACCAGUGGCGAAGGCGGCUCACUGGCCCGAUACUGACGCUGAGGCACGAAAGCGUGGGGAGCAAACAGGG
rnacentral:rRNA from 1 species